UUUGUUGCCAACUACACAGUGGUGUAGUCUAUGUGAUACGCAAGUAUAGGCAGUAUAGCCACUAAGAAAGCGCCAGGAUUUCCAUAUACCCACUUAAAAAUGUGCAAUGACACUCAACAACAUACUUUCUAUUAUAUUUUUGAUAUAUUUUGAAUUGUCAUCUGUGUUUUUCUUCUUCA